GACCGGCGCACGGGUGAGUAACGCGUAUGUAAUCUGCCUUGUACAGAGGGAUAGCCCAGAGAAAUUUGGAUUAAUACCUCAUAGUAUUACUGAGUCGCAUGAUUUGGUAAUUAAAGCUCCGGCGGUACAAGAUGAACAUGCGUGACAUUAGCUAGUUGGUAAGGUAACGGCUUACCAAGGCUACGAUGUCUAGGGGUUCUGAGAGGAUGAUCCCCCACACUGGUACUGAGACACGGACCAGACUCCUACGGGAGGCAGCAGUGAGGAAUAUUGGUCAAUGGACGCAAGUCUGAACCAGCCAUCCCGCGUGAAGGAUGACUGCCCUAUGGGUUGUAAACUUCUUUUAUAUGCAAAUAAACCUACUUUCGUGAAAGUAGCUGAAGGUAGCAUAUGAAUAAACACCGGCUAACUCCCGUGCCAGCAGCCGCGGUAAUACGGAGGGUGU
rnacentral:rRNA from 1 species